AAUCAACGCUGGCGGCGUGCCUCAGACAUGCAAGUCGAACGCGAAAGAGGGCUUCGGCCCUUGAGUAGAGUGGCGCACGGGUGAGUAACACGUGGGUAAUUUACCUUUGGGUGGGGAAUAACAGUCGGAAACGGCUGCUAAUACCGCAUAAUGCAGCGGCUCCACAUGGAGACAGUUGUUAAAGCGGGGGAGCGAGCAAUCGCCCUCGCGCCUGAAGAGAAGCCCGCGGCAGAUUAGCUAGUUGGUGAGGUAAUGGCUCACCAAGGCUUCGAUCUGUAGCGGCCUGAGAGGGCGGUCGGCCACACUGACACUGAAUAACGGGUCAGACUCCUACGGGAGGCAGCAGUCGGGAAUUUUGGGCAAUGGGCGCAAGCCUGACCCAGCAACGCCGCGUGAAGGAUG
rnacentral:rRNA from 1 species